rnacentral:rRNA from 1 species
AUUGAACGCUAGCGGGAUGCCUUACACAUGCAAGUCGAACGGAUUGGCGAACGGGUGAGUAAUGUUUCUGAAUGUGCCCAGUAGCGGGGGAUAACUACGCUAAAGCGCAGCUAAUACCGCAUACCAUUGGAUUGGUCUAUAUCGGAUUAGCUAGUUGGUGGGGUAACGGCUCACCAAGACGACGAUCCGUAGCUGGUUUGAGAGGACGACCAGCCACACUGGGACUGAGACACGGCCCAGACUCCUACGGGAGGCAGCAGUGGGGAAUUUUGGGCAAUGGGGGAAACCCUGAUCCAGCCAUCACGCGUGUGGGAUGAAGGCCUUCGGGUUGUAAAGGACUUUUGGCAGGGAGGCGGUACCUGCAGAAUAAGCACCGGCUAACUACGUGCCAGCAGCCGCGGUAAUUC